ACACAAUACAUUAAUUUGUGAGCUGUUCAAAUGUUUAUCUGCAGGUACAACACCAAAUAAUGACUUUACUGGAUCUGGUGGGAGUCUUAACAUUAAAAAUUGCUCAUAAAGUCUCAUUUAUUUUAGACCAAUAGGGUGAUGUGAGGACAGUUCCAAAAUGUAUGUGACAAUGAAGCAGGGGCGUAGCCACAAGAGGCGUCCACUCACAGAAACAUCUUGGACAGUCUUUGUUUGGAUAGGUGCAACCGGUGCAGGAUUUUAAACUGCAGCAGACCAUGUCUGAUGCAAACUGAAGAGGAGUGUUUACUUCAAGUAUUCUUUUAUAUGGACAGUCUUGACCACCACAAUACUGCAGUGCCAUUGACAUCGUAGCAGCAACCGGCCAAAGCACCAAAGCAGGGACCAUUUUUGUAUUCGAGACCAACUCAUUCGAGUCUGAGUCAAGACCGAGUCCAGAGAUGGUUGAGUCCGAGUCAAGACCGAGUCCAGAGAGGGUUGAGUCCAAGUCAAGACUGAGACCAGAGAAGGUCGAGUCUGAGUCAUGACCGAGUCCACGUAAGACUUUUGCACAAUACUGUAUAGUUGAAAAUUUUAAUUAAUAAAUAAAUGUUAUUAUGGUAUUGUGUAAAUGAUUAUCACCAACCACAUAAUAAUUUCUCUUCUAAGAUAUAAAUCAAGAAUAAAAUAUAAAUAAUACAGAAAUUUAUGUAGACUAAAUUUACAAUACUGUGCUGACUCGUUUACUGAUGGAAUUAUGUGUUGUGCCACUGUGUUUUAGCCCCACUGUCUUAUUAUUUUGGGUAACAGACGGCUUAUCUAAUGCU